rnacentral:tRNA from 1 species
GGUGUUUUUGUAGUUGAAUAACAACGGCGGUUUUUCAGAUUGCAGGUCCAGUGUAUAAGCUGGCAGGA